GAUGAACGCUGGCGGCGUGCCUAAUACAUGCAAGUCGAGCGAACCACUUCGGUGGUGAGCGGCGAACGGGUGAGUAACACGUAGGUGAUCUGCCCAUCAGACGGGGACAACGAUUGGAAACGAUCGCUAAUACCGGAUAGGACGAAAGUUUAAAGGUGCUUCUGGCACCGCUGAUGGAUGAGCCUGCGGCGCAUUAGCUAGUUGGUAGGGUAAAGGCCUACCAAGGCGACGAUGCGUAGCCGACCUGAGAGGGUGAACGGCCACGCUGGGACUGAGACACGGCCCGGACUCCUACGGGAGGCAGCAGUAGGGAAUCUUCGGCAAUGGGCGAAAGCCUGACCGAGCAACGCCGCGUGAAUGAUGAAGGCCUUCGGGUUGUAAAAUUCUGUUAUAAGGGAAGAACGACUUUAGUAGGAAAUGGCUAGAGUGUGACGGUACCUUAUGAGAAAGCCACGGCUAACUACGUGCCAGCAGCCGCCGUAA
rnacentral:rRNA from 1 species